UCGUUCGGAAGACUUCGUGUAACGCGUCGUCGAUAUAAUUGCGCGUCGUAAUUGUGAAUGCGUUGUUAUUGUGGCAAUACGAACAAAGAAAAGCAAACGAAUCGAAAUUCAUUGAACCGGUGAAAGCUGGAUCUAGUUCGGCGACGAACAGUGCGGUGUAAAGUGUAAAAAACAGUGUUAAACUUCUUGAAAUUGGAAUGCAAACAAACCUAUUAUCGUAAAGUCAAAGGGGAAGACAACCGUUUAUUUAAAACCCGACCCGCAUGCAUAUUGCUGUUCCUGACAACGACAAACAGACAGUCAACGCCUCGUUUAUCGCACGAAAGUAUGAAAAGUAAUUAAAAACGUGUUUCAUUGCUUUCGCGGACAUCACUCUUUCGACGAAAACGCCUGUGCUCCCCUUCGUUCGAAGAAUCACAGAUCGUUCUUUGGUGUUACUGGAUUGGCUUCAUCUGGAUGUAAUUCGACUGAUGAAAUGUUCUCAACUCGUUCAAGAUGAAUGUGACUACCCGUGUGAACGUCCAGCUGUAGCUCGUCGACGAUACGAUUGGUCGAAGAAGAGUGUCAGCUCCGAACGUUGCUAUUUCAUCCAACGUCCUGAGCCAUAAUAAUAGAAGAGCAUCGAGCCUAAUUACGGCCGAUACACAUGUGACCGCUCGUCGAGGCUGCUAGAACGCUAGGUAUCCUUAAAGGCACAUCCACACGCCUUGGAGUGUCGCCCGAGCGAGCGUCUGCCCGCGAUUGCUCGUUAGCGGAGCCACGGCCCCGUGUCUGUCACGAAAUCGCUGAUUAUCAUCGUUCAAGGAAACCACCGACGCUACGUCGCCUCCUAGCUCUCGUAUACCAGCCAUCGCGGUCAUUACUUACUUAUGCCACGGACUGGUAGCCUUAGAAAAGCUGUUGUCCACUGGCGCAGACCGCUCGAUCUAGUUUCGAUUUUCUCAACGAGCUUCCUCCUGGACAACUCUAACUAACGACCGUACAUUCUACUUUGCACCUGCCACGGUUUCAGAUCAACGUUCUACCCAUUGAUCGGGAAAGACGAGCCGGAUUAGUAGCUGACCAAUUCUGUGUACACGUGCCAGCAAAAUUAUUGUUUUUCUUGUUUGGUGUUCGCGUAGGAGAAGGCAGAAAUAAGGAAAAGAAAUUAUCAUGCUGGAGUCUCGCCGGAAGUGUCUUGUAUAAAUACAGCUGUCGCGCGCUACGCAAAAGGAGAGCCGGUGAACGGGGUAAGCGAUACUCCACCAUCGCAGACAUUCUUUCGUCGAAGGAAGAAAGGCGUGAAGAGAGAAGAGGGUUAAAAAAUUUGUGAAAGGAAACCAGAUCUAAAAAUGUCUAAUCCUCCCGAUCUUUUUCGAAACUUUUUUAUCCCUUCUAAUAUUAAAUCGCCAACUUUUGCUACGAACGUAGAAUAUUAAGACAUUGGGCACGCGAUUCGAGUGAUUUCAGCAGACUCGGGAAGAGAAUAUUGCGAAAUCGGGAAAUUCGUAAAAAGAUCGAUGAAGAAAGAAACGAUAAAAAGGAAAAUGAAACCAUACACGUCAAUGAAAAUUUGGUAAUUAUAACUGUCGAAA